GAUGAACGCUAGCGGCAGGCCUAACACAUGCAAGUCGAGGGGCAGCAUAAAAUAAACUUGUUUAUUUGGUGGCGACCGGCGCACGGGUGCGUAACGCGUAUGCAACCUACCUUACACAGGGGGAUAGCCCGGAGAAAUUCGGAUUAAUACCCCAUAGCACUAUCGGAUGGCAUCAUUUGAUAUUUAAAGCUUUGGCGGGGUAAGAUGGGCAUGCGUCCUAUUAGCUAGUUGGUGAAGUAACGGCUCACCAAGGCUACGAUAGGUAGGGGGCCUGAGGGGGUGGUCCCCCACACUGGUACUGAGACACGGACCAGACCCCUACGGGAGGCAGCAGUGAGGAAUAUUGGUCAAUGGGCGCAAGCCUGAACCAGCCAUGCCGCGUGAAGGAUGAAGGUUCUAUGGAUUGUAAACUUCUUUUAUUUGGGAAUAAACCCCUUUACGUGUAGAGGGCUGAAGGUACCAAAUGAAUAAGCACCGGCUAACUCCGUGCCAGCCGCCGCAGUAA
rnacentral:rRNA from 1 species